rnacentral:piRNA from 1 species
UGUCGGAAAACUGGAUAGGUUGGG